rnacentral:antisense_RNA from 1 species
GGGUGCUUGAAGCUGUCUGCUUUUAGUGCUUGUGUUUGGCUGAGAGUAGACAGAGAAAGGCCCCGUACUGAAGUUAAUCAAUACGAGGCUCUCUGUAAUACCUAGACAAUAUUACGGUAGCUUCUUACCCGCCGAAAGGCAAGACAUGGAGGCCAAA